CCUGACUGAAGUAGUGUCAUUUAAAAUAGAGCAAAGCAGCAUGAACUCCCUUCUCUUUAUACCAUGUGACCUGACUCCAUCUGCACAAUAAACUCAGCUCUUUAAACAUUAAAAAACCGGACUGGAUGUUCAAUCCAGAGAUCUGUGAGUCAGUCCUUCCAGAUCAAAACGAGCCUGUCAGAUAUCCACGAUGAUGUUCUUACUGCAACCAGUGAUGUCACUUUCGUCGCUCCUGAAUGUCGGGCUUUAAAAGUCAGAUAUUGACGAUACUCUUUCCACCCAGAACAAACCUUUGGGGUUGACUGCUUUAUACUGAAGAUGGAGAGAGGAUCAUUUAUCUGCAGCCACAGUUGAAAUUAAAAGCCUGAACAGCAACAGUGAGGCCGUCUGUCCAUAGCGUCCAGAGAUGACACCAGAGAGGAACGAACAGAGUCGGACACAGUCGGCCUCGUGACUCAACAAGCUGAGAGAAGUCUGAACCUGGAAUGAUGAGCCGCUCCUCUUAAUUGGACUCGGUGUUCUGACCCAGUUGCUGUGUUGCCCCCAGUGAAAUGUGGGCACUGAUCUGAUGCACUGUACAUAAUCACAUGCCAACACACUUCAGUGUUAACAGACUCAAGAUGAAAAAUAAGUCAUAAAUACAACCGAAUUUCACAACUUCUGUCGACAUGUAAAACUUAAAACCAAUUAAAAAGUGUGAAAUCAGGA